UUUCAUUCAUACUUACAUCGAUUAUGAUCUACAUAGAUUUUUUAAAUCAAAAUUGGAUUAAUAUUCAAAAAUGUGGUGUUUUUAUGUUCUGUACUAGGCGACUUUUAGUAAUGUAGACAAAAAUUUUCGGCUCUGAACAAUAUUUCAUUGUCCGGUUAGCAAAAAGAUUAAAGGCAUGAAUAAGCACAGUUAACUGAUUUCAUGUUACCAAAAUGGCUUACGCUUCGCGAUAUUUGAGUCGGACUAAAGUAAUUCUAUUCUCCUUGCAUGCUUCCGCCACUUGUUCUUUGGUUAAAGCUAAAAUUCAUAUCUUAAAUCCAUCUGUUCUUCCUAUCUACGUGCACUUUCUCUUUUUCAUCGCGAUAAAUCAUUGUUAUUACUCGAUUACGUUUAUAGUUAAGUCAUAGUUUUUUUCGAAGAAGAUUGUACAUACAGUUGCAGCGCUCUUGGGGACCGAAAAUCGCGACCAGUCGCGUUCGCUGAUGCAUUCAUAUAGUUCAGAGUGUCAAAAGGGGGAUGUUGUUACAAGAUGGCUAGGGAUUCUCUCGAUCGACAGGUUAAAAGGAAAAAUGCACGCAAGGUGGGGAGAGUGCGUUGCGCAGAACGCAGAACGUCCUUUCCUCGAGAAAGAGAAUCCGACUCGUGUGGAUAGGUGCGAACGGCACGCGACCCAUCACACGCAUAUAUUGUGCCAUUGUGCGUGAACUUGCUUCCAUCUCCCUUUUCCUGCAGCUCUCUUUGUUCUCUUCAUGCCUGCCUCUCGCUCUUUCUCUCAUUGUCGCGAGUUUGGCGUGCGCGCGCGCCACCGAGUGCGAACAAAUCCACUAUGGUGUCAGAUACAGGGAAUUGUGUGAAGAAAGAGGUGAACGCGAGAGGAGAGGGAGUAUUGGAAAUGGGACGGGAACUGGAUGACGGCGUGGCAGCAGCCACCUAGCCAUGUCAGUGACAGCGGCUCUUUGUCGAGUGUUACUUGUCCCGUGGUUGUUUCCUUCUGACAAUAUAAUCUCGAUUUCUUCGAAGAUCCGUUGCUACCUAUCGCUUACGUCUAAUAUAUGCUUUUUAUAGGAUCUCUUUACGAUUGCCUCGUCGUAGUUCCAAUCAGGAAUCUUUUCACCUAAGAUUAUUAUGCUAGAUACAACCGUCUCAAUUUUCUCGAAAACGUACUGAAUAUUUUUUUCUAGAAAGUAUAUCAUUCAUCGUCGGGAUGUAUACGGUUGUUUGGAUAUGCUGCUAAAAUGACACGAAACGUCAAGGAAAUGAAAUUAUGAUGCGAAAGAGCGAAUCACGAGAAUCUGUCUUAAUAGUCUUCUUCCGAGAGUUACGUAAUUAUUUGCAGCCAAAUGCUCGAGUGCUACGAUGCCGCAUUAAUCUACCUACUAUUAUGUUUUCUUCAGUUUUCUUGUUCCCGAUUUCAUUUCGUUCGAUUUUGACACUGAGAAAUGGCCGGAAUGCCGGGAUAUAUCUUUUCCUUAUUGUUUCAUAUCGGGAGAAAAUAGUUCGUGACUACGAGAUUACGAUAUCUAACAAAACUGCGCACCGAUCGUGUAUACUUCUAUAACUGAGAGUGGAAAUAAAAAUAUCCGUGAAGGGUGCAUUGACCGAUCUCGGAAUACAAGCCAAUACGUUUAAUCUGUUUAAAAAUCUGCUCGAAAGACGAAACUCGCGUCGGCGUGCGUUCUGUUCUGCAUUUUGGUCGUUACAAAAUCGAGGGAGCUAUUUUCACGCAUUCUUUGAGUAACUGAUAUCACGGUUGUUGUCUGUAACGAUAACGAACGCAGUUUUCGUAAUCACCCACGUCGAUACGAUACAGUCUCGUCCUAUAUAAUUUAUAAUAAUUUCAAUUUCGAUUUAUAGGAUUUCAGAUGAAUAUAAAUACAAUAUUUAUAUGGAACAAGACAUACAUAGAUUUAAAUUACUUCGGAGCGAAAACAUGUUUCAUUUCAGGGUAGACGAACCAGUAGGUGGUCCGCAGUUAUUUAAUGUCGUUUUAUCAAUUUAUGAUCUGAUAAAGAAGCAAGGUCACAUCUUAAAUUACGGUUUCGUAACUUAUGGGUUAUGGUUAACAUUUAUUUCGUUUGUAGUAAUAUUUAAAACUAUUUAUUCCUACAGUUAUACAGAAUUUAAAGUAACAAUGCUUGUAGACUGAAUUGCCGAUUAUAGCUACUGUCAAUUUUCAAGUAAGAUUACUAUAACGUACACGAUAGUAUAACAAAUGCCAAAGGAAGGAAACAGAAGUCACAAAAUUAUUUAAGAGAGUCAUUACUAAAAAUAAAAUUAACAAGAUUCUUUUUCAAUCAUAAAUCGAAGACGAUUUUCUUCUUCGUGGCAUGACUGAAUAAUAAUUUUGAACGGAAGUGCCAUCCUAUAGAACAGAGAGAAAUAAACUACUAUGUUGUGAGGUGACCCAGUAAGACAUCUCAAUGGUUGAAAUUCAACAAACAUUAAUGGAAGAAGAAGGACGAUUGUCACAAUCACAUUACAAAAGUGAAGAGGAAAUCCACGCGUAGCAUAGAAGACAGGGUUGUAAUACCAAAACCUAAAACAAGGCCAGGUGGAUCAGUGAAAAAAUUAAAGGAGGCAGUAAAUAAUGAGAAAUCUGAGCAAGUUUAAUCAAGUUUGUGAUUGUGAUGAUAAUGCUGAUGAAGCAAGAAUUACCUUACCAAAAGGAAAAAAUGUAAAAUUAUACGAUCGAGAAAAAAAGAAGAGGAGGAGAAAGAUGAGAUAGUUUCUCAGAUUUUAAUAAUAAAAAGAUCAGUAUCAGUCGAGAUAGACGAAGAUACCUUCUCGGUGUGCGACCACGAGGCGACAUGGUCAUAACCCAUAGAUAUUUAUACAUAUAUAUCAAUGUUAUUAUAAUAAACUAAUAUUAAUAGUAA